rnacentral:rRNA from 1 species
UAGUUGGUGGGGUAAAGGCCUACCAAGGCGACAAUCAGUAGCGGGUCUGAGAGGAUGAUCCGCCACACUGGAACUGAGACACGGUCCAGACUCCUACGGGAGGCAGCAGUGGGGAAUUUUGGACAAUGGGGGCAACCCUGAUCCAGCCAUUCCGCGUGAGUGAAGAAGGCCUUCGGGUUGUAAAGCUCUUUCAGCUGGAACGAAACGGUACAUCCUAAUACGGUGUGCUAAUGACGGUACCAGCAGAAGAAGCACCGGCUAACUACGUGCCAGCAGCCGCGGUAAUACGUAGGGUGCGAGCGUUAAUCGGAAUUACUGGGCGUAAAGCGUGCGCAGGCGGAUUGUUAAGCAAGAUGUGAAAUCCCCGGGCUUAACCUGGGAAUGGCAUUUUGAACUGGCAGUCUAGAGUGUGUCAGAGGGGGGUGGAAUUCCACGUGUAGCAGUGAAAUGCGUAGAGAUGUGGAGGAACACCAAUGGCGAAGGCAGCCCCCUGGGAUAACACUGACGCUCAUGUACGAAAGCGUGGGUAGCAAACAGGAUUAGAUACCCUGGUAGUCCACGCCCUAAACGAUGUCAACUGGUUGUUGGGGGAGUGAAAUCCCUUAGUAACGAAGCUAACGCGUGAAGUUGACCGCCUGGGGAGUACGGUCGCAAGAUUAAAACUCAAAGGAAUUGACGGGGAUCCGCACAAGCGGUGGAUGAUGUGGAUUAAUUCGAUGCAACGCGAAAAACCUUACCUACCCUUGACAUGUCCAGAACCCUGCAGAGAUGCGGGGGUGCCCGAAAGGGAGUUGGAACACAGGUGCUGCAUGGCUGUCGUCAGCUCGUGUCGUGAGAUGUUGGGUUAAGUCCCGCAACGAGCGCAACCCUUAUCAUUAGUUGCUACGCAAGGGCACUCUAAUGAGACUGCCGG